rnacentral:rRNA from 1 species
GAUGAACGCUGGCGGCGUGCCUAAUACAUGCAAGUCGAGCGAACAGACGAGGAGCUUGCUUCUCUGACGUUAGCGGCGGACGGGUGAGUAACACGUGGAUAACCUACCUAAAAGACUGGGAUAACUUCGGGAAACCGGAGCUAAUACCGGAUCAUAUAUUGAUCCGUAUGGUUCAAUAGUGAAAGACGGUUUUGUUGUUACUUAUAGAUGGAUCCGCGUCGCAUUAGCUAGUUGGUAAGGUAACGGCUUACAAAGGCAAUGAUGAGUAGCCGACCUGAGAGGGUGAUCGGACACACUGAAACUGAGACACGGUACAGACUCCUACGGGAGACAGGAGUAGGGAAUCUUCCGCAAUAGGCGAAAGCUUGACAGAGCAACGCCGAGUGAGUGAUGAAGGUCUUCGGAACGUAAAACUCUGUUAUUAGGGGAGAACAAAUGUGUAAGUAAAUAUGCACGUCUGGACGGUACCUAAUCAGAAAGCCAGGAAUAACUACGU